ACAAUAUUUGCAAGAUAUGGAUGAGUUUAUUGUGCCAAAUUGAAUACUCAGUAAAAUGCGCAUGCGCGUCAGGAGACCGCGGUAGGCCCUGCUGUUUAUCCAACUCCAGUUCAACCCAGCGCAGAAAAACAAGGAGCAGGAAAAUCCCGAUGAACAGAGAAGAUCCCCGAAGGAAAUCAUCUCUUUUCUAGUCCAGUACCAUAGCGGCUCCAGACGAACCAUGUGAUUGUUAGAGCAUCCGAUGUAGCUGUCAUGUGGUACAUCCACAGUCCAGCACGGCGGAAUGCUCAGCUCAGCAAGGAGCCGUUGACAACGGCUGGCCUUUGACAAAGGAUCCUCCCAGUGACUCUUGUAACUACCCCCCUCCCCUAGGGGGGUCACAGACCUCUGCCAUCCCCACAGUGCCUCCACAUUGGGUGGACCUUCAUCCUACACCACACUCCUCAUCCUCCCGUGGAGUCUGCUAGACAGGAGGUAAGGUUGGGCCGGGUGCUGCUGCCCUUCAGGAAUAGAGGCUGUGGGUUAUUCUGUGUGAGAUAGAUAGAUAUACGUAUAUCUCUCUCACACACACAGGUGAAGUCGAAAGUUUACAUACACCUCAGCCAAAUACAUUUAAACUCAGUUUUUCACAUUUCCUGACAUUUAAUCCUAGUAAAAAUUCCCAUGUCUUAGGUCAGUUAGGAUCACCACUUAAUUUUAAGAAUGUGAAAUAUCAGAAUCAUAGUAGAUAGCGAUUUAUUUCAGCUUUUAUUUCUUUCAUCACAUUCCCAGUGGAUCAGAAGUUUACAUACACUCAAUUAGUAUUUGGUAGCAUUGCCUUUAAAUUGUUUAACUUGGGUCAAACGUUUCAGGUAGCCUUCCACAAGCUUCCCACAAUAAGUUGGGUGAAUUUUGGCCCACUCCUCCUGACAGUGCUGGAGUAACUGA
rnacentral:lncRNA from 1 species